rnacentral:rRNA from 1 species
AUUGAACGCUGGCGGCAGGCUUAACACAUGCAAGUCGAGCGGGGUGAUGGUGCUUGCACUAUCACUUAGCGGCGGACGGGUGAGUAAUGCUUAGGAAUCUGCCUAUUAGUGGGGGACAACAUCUCGAAAGGGAUGCUAAUACCGCAUACGUCCUACGGGAGAAAGUAGGGGAUCACUUGUGACCUUGCGCUAAUAGAUGAGCCUAAGUCGGAUUAGCUAGUUGGUGGGGUAAAGGCCUACCAAGGCGACGAUCUGUAGCGGGUCUGAGAGGAUGAGCCCCCACACUGGGACUGACACACGGCCCUGACUCCGACGGGAGGCAGCAGUGGGGAAUAUUGGACAAUGGGGGGAACCCUGAUCCAGCCAUGCCGCGUGUGUGAAGAAGGCCUUAUGGUUGUAAAGCACUUUAAGCGAGGAGGAGGCUCUUUUGGUUAAUACCCAAGAUGAGUGGACGUUACUCGCAGAAUAAGCACCGGCUAACUCUGUGCCAGCCGCCGCGGUAA